rnacentral:rRNA from 1 species
GAUGAACGCUGGCGGCGUGCCUAAUACAUGCAAGUCGAGCGAAUGGAUUAAGAGCUUGCUCUUAUGAAGUUAGCGGCGGACGGGUGAGUAACACGUGGGUAACCUGCCCAUAAGACUGGGAUAACUCCGGGAAACCGGGGCUAAUACCGGAUAAUAUUUUGAACUGCAUGGUUCAAAAUUGAAAGGCGGCUUCGGCUGUCACUUAUGGAUGGACCCGCCUCGCAUUAGCUAGUUGGUGAGGUAACGGCUCCCCAAGGCAACGAUGCGUAGCCGACCUGAGAGGGUGAUCGGCCACACUGGGACUGAGACACGGCCCAGACUCCUACGGGAGGCAGCAGUAGGGAAUCUUCCGCAAUGGACGAAAGUCUGACGGAGCAACGCCGCGUGAGUGAUGAAGGCUUUCGGGUCGUAAAACUCUGUUGUUAGGGAAGAACAAGUGCUAGUUGAAUAAGCUGGCACCUUGACGGUACCUAACCAGAAAGCCACGGCUAACUACGUGCCAGCAGCCGCAGUAA